GACGAACGCUGGCGGCGUGCCUAAUACAUGCAAGUAGAACGCUGAAGAGAGGAGCUUGCUCUUCUUGGCUGAGUUGCGAACGGGUGAGUAACGCGUAGGUAACCUGCCUUGUAGCGGGGGAUAACUAUUGGAAACGAUAGCUAAUACCGCAUAACAAUGGAUGACACAUGUCAUUUAUUUGAAAGGGGCAAUUGUUCCACUACAAGAUGGACCUGCGUUGUAUUAGCUAGUAGGUGAGGUAAUGGCUCACCUAGGCGACGAUACAUAGCCGACCUGAGAGGGUGAUCGGCCACACUGGGACUGAGACACGGCCCAGACUCCUACGGGAGGCAGCAGUAGGGAAUCUUCGGAAAUGGGGGCAACCCUGAACGAGCAACGCCGCGUGAGUGAAGAAGGGUUUCGGAUCGUAAAGCUCUGUUGUAAGUCAAGAACGGGUGUGAGAGUGGAAAGUUCACACUGUGACGGUAGCUUACCAGAAAGGGACGGCUAACUACGUG
rnacentral:rRNA from 1 species